rnacentral:rRNA from 1 species
GUCGAGCGAACAGAUAAGGAGCUUGCUCCUUUGACGUUAGCGGCGGACGGGUGAGUAACACGUGGGUAACCUACCUAUAAGACUGGGACAACUUCGGGAAACCGGAGCUAAUACCGGAUAAUAUGUUGAACCGCAUGGUUCAAUAGUGAAAGAUGGUUUUGCUAUCACUUAUAGAUGGACCCGCGCCGUAUUAGCUAGUUGGUGAGGUAACGGCUCACCAAGGCAACGAUACGUAGCCGACCUGAGAGGGUGAUCGGCCACACUGGAACUGAGACACGGUCCAGACUCCUACGGGAGGCAGCAGUAGGGAAUCUUCCGCAAUGGGCGAAAGCCUGACGGAGCAACGCCGCGUGAGUGAUGAAGGUCUUAGGAUCGUAAAACUCUGUUAUUAGGGAAGAACAAACGUGUAAGUAACUGUGCACGUCUUGACGGUACCUAAUCAGAAAGCCACGGCUAACUACGUGCCAGCAGCCGCGGUAAUACGUAGGUGGCAAGCGUUAUCCGGAAUUAUUGGGCGUAAAGCGCGCGUAGGCGGUUUUUUAAGUCUGAUGUGAAAGCCCACGGCUCAACCGUGGAGGGUCAUUGGAAACUGGAAAACUUGAGUGCAGAAGAGGAAAGUGGAAUUCCAUGUGUAGCGGUGAAAUGCGCAGAGAUAUGGAGGAACACCAGUGGCGAAGGCGACUUUCUGGUCUGUAACUGACGCUGAUGUGCGAAAGCGUGGGGAUCAAACAGGAUUAGAUACCCUGGUAGUCCACGCCGUAAACGAUGAGUGCUAAGUGUUAGGGGGUUUCCGCCCCUUAGUGCUGCAGCUAACGCAUUAAGCAC